rnacentral:rRNA from 1 species
GACGAACGCUGGCGGCGUGCCUAAUACAUGCAAGUAGAACGCUGAAGGAGGAGCUUGCUUCUCCAGAUGAGUUGCGAACGGGUGAGUAACGCGUAGGUAACCUGCCUGGUAGCGGGGGAUAACUAUUGGAAACGAUAGCUAAUACCGCAUAACAGUAGAUGUUGCAUGACAUUUGCUUAAAAGGUGCAAUUGCAUCACUACCAGAUGGACCUGCGUUGUAUUAGCUAGUUGGUGAGGUAACGGCUCACCAAGGCGACGAUACAUAGCCGACCUGAGAGGGGGAUCGGCCACACUGGGACUGAGACACGGCCCAGACUCCUACGGGAGGCAGCAGUAGGGAAUCUUCGGCAAUGGACGGAAGUCUGACCGAGCAACGCCGCGUGAGUGAAGAAGGUUUUCGGAUCGUAAAGCUCUGUUGUAAGAGAAGAACGAGUGUGAGAGUGGAAAGUUCACACUGUGACGGUAUCUUACCAGAAAGGGACGGCUAACUACGUG